GACGAACGCUGGCGGCGUGCCUAACACAUGCAAGUCGAACGGAGAUACGAUUUCGGUUGUAUCUUAGUGGCGAACGGGUGAGUAACGCGUGAGCAACCUGACUCUUAGAGGGGGAUAACACCUGGAAACAAGUGCUAAUACCGCAUAAGACCACGACCCGACAUCGGGAUGAGGUCAAAGGAGCAAUCCGCUGAGAGAGGGGCUCGCGUCCCAUUAGAUAGAUGGCGGGGUAACGGCCCACCAUGUCCGCGAUGGGUAGCCGAGCUGAGAGGCUGAUCGGCCACACUGGAACUGAGACACGGUCCAGACUCCUACGGGAGGCAGCAGUGGGGAAUAUUGGGCAAUGGGCGCAAGCCUGACCCAGCAACGCCGCGUGAGGGAAGAAGGCUUUCGGGUUGUAAACCUCUGUCCUUGGUGACGAAAAAAUAGACGUAGCCAAGGAGGAAGCCCCGGCUAACUACGUG
rnacentral:rRNA from 1 species